UACGUAGGGGGCAAGCGUUGUCCGGAUUCAUUGGGCGUAAAGAGCUCGUAGGCGGCUUGGCAAGUCGGGUGUGAAACCUCCAGGCUCAACCUGGAGACGCCACCCGAUACUGCCAUGGCUAGAGUCCGGUAGGGGACCACGGAAUUCCUGGUGUAGCGGUGAAAUGCGCAGAUAUCAGGAGGAACACCGAUGGCGAAGGCAGCUCGCUGGGACGGUACUGACGCUGAGGCGCGAAAGCGUGGGGAGCAAACAGG
rnacentral:rRNA from 1 species